GACCUGAUAGCAUACUUGGUUAGUGCGUCUCCUCAAAAUCCCCAAUUGUCCACGAAGGUUAAGCAGGAAGACCCCUGUUCGACUCGGGGUCAGGUCA